CCUACGGGAUGCAGCAGUGGGGAAUAUUGCACAAUGGGCGCAAGCCUGAUGCAGCCAUGCCGCGUGUGUGAAGAAGGCCUUCGGGUUGUAAGGCACUCCCAGCGGGGAGGAAGGCGGUGAGGUUAAUAACCUCACCGAUUGACGUUACCCGCAGAAGAAGCACCGGCUAACUCCGUGCCAGCAGCCGCGGUAAUACGGAGGGUGCAAGCGUUAAUCGGAAUUACUGGGCGUAAAGCGCACGCAGGCGGUCUGUCAAGUCGGAUGUGAAAUCCCCGGGCUCAACCUGGGAACUGCAUUCGAAACUGGCAGGCUAGAGUCUUGUAGAGGGGGGUAGAAUUCCAGGUGUAGCGGUGAAAUGCGUAGAGAUCUGGAGGAAUACCGGUGGCGAAGGCGGCCCCCUGGACAAAGACUGACGCUCAGGUGCGAAAGCGUGGGGAGCAAACAGGAUUAGAUACCCUCGUAGUC
rnacentral:rRNA from 1 species